rnacentral:rRNA from 1 species
AUUGACCGCUGGCGGCAUGCCUUACACAUGCAAGUCGAACGGUAACAGGUCUUCGGAUGCUGACGAGUGGCGAACGGGUGAGCAAUACAUCGGAACGUGCCUAGUAGUGGGGGAUAACUACUCGAAAAAGUGGCUAAUACCGCAUGAGAUCGACGGAGUAAAGCAGGGGACCGCUAGCCCUGGUGCGACUAGAGCGGCCGAUGGCAGAUUAGGUAGUGGGUGGGAUAAAAGCUUACCAAGCCGACGAUCUGUAGCUGGUCUGAGAGGACGAUCAGCCACACUGGGACUGAGAAACGGCUCGGAUUCCUACGGGAGGCAGCAGUGGGGAAUUGUGGACAAUGGGCGCAAGCCUGAUCCAGCAAUGCCGCGUGCAGGAUGAAGGCCUUCGGGUUGUAAACUGCUUUUGUACGGAACGAAAAGCCCCGGGUUAAUACCCUGGGGUCAUGACGGUACCGUAAGAAUAAGCACCGGCUAACUACGUGCCAGCCGCCGCAGUAA